UAAGAGGCUGAAACUCGCCUCUUUGAAGUCGGAAUCGCUAGUAAUCGCAGAUCAGCAUGUUGCGGUGAAUACGUUUCCUGGUCUUGUACACACCGCCCGUCAAACCAUGAGAGUCGCCAACACCCGAAGUCCGCUUUGCGGCCUAAGGUGGGGGAGAUGAUUGGGGUUAAGUCGUAACAAGGUAAC
rnacentral:rRNA from 1 species